AUGGGGUUUCACCAUGUUCUGCAGGUUGGUCUUGAACUUCUAGGCUCAAGUGAUCCACGUACUUCGGCUUUCUGAAGUGCUGGGAUUACAGGUGUGAGCCGCAGCUCCUGGCUGUCUAUUAAACUCUCAUUCAGAAUAGAGAAUACGAUCGACUAUGCAUGACAGAUGAAGAGAGAGGCAGAGGAAGAACACCUAAUCAGUCUACAUUCUUCUAACUAAUAACCUAAGUGAAUGCUAAAUUGAAUAAUGUCAUUUGAAAUAAAAAGUUUGUGAAUUAGCCUGAUUUAAUUAUUCACAUUGUAAAUAUAUACCAAAAUAUCACGUUGUACCCCACAAGUAUAUGGAAUUAUUAUUUGUCAAUUAAAAUUAAAAUUUCAAAAGAAGAACAUGAGAAAAAAAAAUUCAGGUAGGUUUCCACAGAACAGAGUGACAAAAUAAUGAGUCAAUAUAGUGUAAACAAAAAGGUACCAGUAUAUAAAGCUGGUCCAGAAGUCAUUUAUUGAAGCACAACAGAUCGAUGAUGAACUCUGUUUUUG
rnacentral:lncRNA from 10 species